GGGUCUAUCCAUUGGUCGGGCUUUACGGUCCGUACUGGUUCGAUGGGUUCCUACCUUCUGAAUAACCGGCAUGCCAUUCAGUUGGUGCGCCGGGGAAGCAGAGCUAUUACCUUGAAAAAAUUAGAGUGCUUAAAGCAGGCUAUUGCUUGAAUAGAUUAGCAUGGAAUAAUAAAAUAGGACGGCAUGGUUCUAUUUUGUUGGUUUCUGAAUCACCGUA
rnacentral:rRNA from 1 species